UACGGAGGGUGCAAGCGUUAUCCGGAUUCACUGGGUUUAAAGGGUGCGUAGGCGGGUAUAUAAGUCAGUGGUGAAAUCUCCGUGCUUAACAUGGAAACUGCCAUUGAUACUACUGAUCUUGAAUUUUCUGGAGGUAAGCGGAAUAUGUCAUGUAGCGGUGAAAUGCUUAGAUAUGACAUAGAACACCAAUUGCGAAGGCAGCUUGCUACAGGGAUAUUGACACUGAGGCACGAAAGCGUGGGGAUCAAACAGG
rnacentral:rRNA from 1 species